rnacentral:rRNA from 1 species
ACUCCUACGGGAGGCAGCAGUGGGGAAUCUUGCSCAAUGGGCGAAAGCCUGACGCAGCGACGCCGCGUGGGUGGUGAAGGCCUUCGGGUUGUAAAGCCCUGUGGGGAGAGACGAAUAAGUCGGAUCUAAUAACUCCGAUGAUGACGGUAUCUCCUUAGCAAGCACCGGCUAACUCUGUGCCAGCAGCCGCGGUAAGACAGAGGGUGCAAACGUUGUUCGGAAUUACUGGGCGUAAAGCGUGUGUAGGCGGUUACGAAAGUCGGAUGUGAAAUCCCCGGGCUCAACCCGGGAAGUGCACCCGAAACUGUGUGACUUGAGUACCGGAGAGGUUGGUGGAAUUCUCGGUGUAGAGGUGAAAUUCGUAGAUAUCGAGAGGAACACCGGUGGCGAAGGCGGCCAACUGGACGAGUACUGACGCUGAGACACGAAAGCGUGGGGAGCAAACAGGAUUAGAUACCCUGGUAGUCCACGCCGUAAACGAUGGGUGCUAGGUGUCACGGGCUUUGACUCCUGUGGUGCCGUAKCCAACGCAUUAAGCACCCCGCCUGGGAAGUACGGCCGCAAGGCUAAAACUCAAAGGAAUUGACGG